AGCGGCGGAAUCAAAGCUCUCUUGUUUCUGGUGGAUCGUGAGAAGAGGACACACAAAAUGGGACUGAAAACGAGACGGGGAGAAGUCACCCUUCAGAUUCUGCUGCCCCUGUGGGACAUGAGGUGACGGCGCAGACCUCAGACCAGCUCGGUUUUCUCCGGCCUGACCUGCAGAACUGAAGCAACGACACGAUGUGUCGGCUGCAGUGAUUGAUCUCCUCGUUGCAGGCUUCAUGAGUCGUCUCUGGAUCUGAUGGCGUUCAGCAACACUGAAGAAAGCUGAAACCAUCCUGGAGCGUGACGUCGCUGUCUCUGCAGCCUACGGAGCAGAUUGAUGCAGAACCAUCAGAAACCAGCGGAGAGCAUGAACACCAGCACUUGUAUCUGCAAUCACUGAUUUUGGAUUCAUAAAUAAUCUGUGCUCAGUGAUAGAUUUAGAAAACACCUGAUUGUUUGAAUUUAAAUAAAACACUUUGAAAGAUUAA